GUUUUAAUAAUUUAAUAAAAAUAUCAAUUUUGUAAAUUGAAAUUAGAUGUCCAUCUUUAAAACA
rnacentral:tRNA from 1 species